rnacentral:rRNA from 1 species
UGAGGAAUAUUGGUCAAUGGGCGAGAGCCUGAACCAGCCAAGUAGCGUGCAGGAUGACGGCCCUAUGGGUUGUAAACUGCUUUUAUAUGGGAAUAAAGUGAGGGACGUGUCCCUUAUUGCAUGUACCAUACGAAUAAGGACCGGCUAAUUCCGUGCCAGCAGCCGCGGUAAUACGGAAGGUCCAGGCGUUAUCCGGAUUUAUUGGGUUUAAAGGGAGCGUAGGCUGUUUGUUAAGCGUGUUGUGAAAUGUAAGGGCUCAACUUUUAGAUUGCAGCGCGAACUGGCAGACUUGAGUGCGCACAACGUAGGCGGAAUUCAUGGUGUAGCGGUGAAAUGCUUAGAUAUCAUGACGAACUCCGAUUGCGAAGGCAGCUUACGGGAGCGCAACUGACGCUAAAGCUCGAAGGUGCGGGUAUCGAACAGG